AUAGGAUUGAGAGAAUCAUGGCCAUAGGAUUGAGAAACCGGGUAACCUGUGAAACCUGAAGGAAGAGUCUGUUCUGACAAAGUAAAAUUCAUGGAUGUACCAACAGCCACUUUCCACGGAUCGGAGUAAAAGGAGUAGAGAGAGUGAGAGUUUUGGAAGAGGAGUGGGAGCUUGCUGCCGAAGCAGAUAGGAUUAGAUAAAUCUCAAAUACGAUCGACAAACAGAGGCACUCUAUCUCAGACCCUCAAUUUUUGUGUCUACUCGCAGCAGCAGCUAGCCGAGUUAUUUGAUAAAAGAAGACAUGAAUUCAGAGCAUGCUAGUUCCUGAGACGGAAGAUUGAACAUGCUAGGUUGCAAGUUUAUAAUGCCGCAACAACAAACUUUUGCACGAAGUGAUGGUGUAUUUUCUUGGGAUGCAACUUCUGAUUUCAAGUUCUGAUCUUAGGUUUAUAAUGCAGCAACAACAAUCCUUCUGUAAACGGAUCAAAUAUAUUGCCACUUUGGUUUUUGAUAUUAACUGUGCCUGAAGUUUAUUUCUAAUGUGAAAACCUAAUGAGGGUGGUUGUUUAAACAGAUGUUCUACUAGCAGACAAAAAUUACCAGUCAGUUGUCAACCAUAUCAUAAGCUUCUUGCAGCAGCAGCAAUCCGUAGUGGCAAUUUCGAUGUUGAAGUUGAAGGAUGACAAAUUGGUGAUUUAUUAUUUCCAUGCCAUAUUCGCGUGGUUGGAUCUUCAUUUUCUCUUGUUACAUUACUAGAGGUGGCUCCUCCUUUUAUAGUAUAAUUACUGUGUUCUGUUUGAAAAUACAGGUGUAUAUUCAACUGUUUGCUGUAUCAUGCUUGGAUCUUCUCAUUACUAUUUAUAAAUCUAUAUGCCAUUGCUUGUUC